CACUUUGGAGCAGCUAACAACAGGAACACCUCACAAAACACUCUCAAACUCUGACUCCGCUCACCACCUUCAAGCUUAUAAUCCAACAGAUUGUAGGUGACACACACACACACACACACACA